rnacentral:rRNA from 1 species
GACGAACGCUGGCGGCGUGCUUAACACAUGCAAGUCGAACGGAAAGGCCCUGCUUUUGUGGGGUGCUCGAGUGGCGAACGGGUGAGUAACACGUGAGUAACCUGCCCUUGACUUUGGGAUAACUUCAGGAAACUGGGGCUAAUACCGGAUAGGAGCUCCUGCUGCAUGGUGGGGGUUGGAAAGUUUCGGCGGUUGGGGAUGGACUCGCGGCUUAUCAGCUUGUUGGUGGGGUAGUGGCUUACCAAGGCUUUGACGGGUAGCCGGCCUGAGAGGGUGACCGGCCACAUUGGGACUGAGAUACGGCCCAGACUCCUACGUGAGGCAGCAGUGGGGAAUAUUGCACAAUGGGCGGAAGCCUGAUGCAGCAACGCCGCGUGCGGGAUGACGGCCUUCGGGUUGUAAACCGCUUUCGCCUGUGACGAAGCGUGAGUGACGGUAAUGAGUAAAGAAGCACCGGCUAACUACGUG